UACGGAGGAUGCGAGCGUUAUCCGGAUUUACUGGGUGUAAAGGGAGCGCAGGCGGUCUGGCAAGUCAGAUGUGAAAACCCGGGGCUCAACUCCGGGACUGCAUUUGAAACUGUCAGACUAGAGUGUCGGAGAGGUAAGUGGAAUUCCUAGUGUAGCGGUGAAAUGCGUAGAUAUUAGGAGGAACACCAGUGGCGAAGGCGGCUUACUGGACGAUAACUGACGCUGAGGCUCGAAAGCGUGGGGAGCAAACAGG
rnacentral:rRNA from 1 species